CACUCUCAAAAUAUGCGCAAGUAGACUGUUGAUAGACUGUCAAGCCGUGUUUGUAAUUGAUACAAAGUAAUAUUGCCGAAUGUGGGGAGAGUUUUUUAAUACUUAUUUUACAUCUUCACAUCAGAUUGUAAUAUAUCUUUUAUUAGUCAUAGAAUCGGGUAGUUCAACCGCAGAAUGCCGAAAAUAAGGAUUUGCAUCAUUGGUAGUGGAAAUUGGGGCUCAGCAAUCGCAAAAAUUAUUGGUAUUAAUGUCAAAAAAUUUGAGGACAAGUUUGAGGAGGAAGUGAUGAUGUACGUAUAUGAGGAGAUGAUUGAAGGAAAGAAGUUGACAGAUAUUAUCAAUGAAACGCAUGAAAAUGUUAAAUACUUACCAGGUCAUAAACUUUCUCCAAAUAUCAUUGCAGUACCAGAUGUCGUUGAGGCAGCCAAAAAUGCUGAUAUUCUGAUAUUCGUUGUACCCCACCAAUUCGUUCCGGGACUUUGCACUGCAUUGCUGGGAAAAAUUAAAUCCAGCGCUGUUAGCCUAUCUUUAAUUAAGGGUUUCACUCAAGAAAAUGAUACAAAGCUCAAAUUGAUUUCCAAGUUUAUUGAAGAAAAAUUGAAAAUCCCAUGCUCGGUUCUAAUGGGAGCGAAUCUCUCAAACGAAGUUGCCAGUGAUUAUUUCUGUGAAACCACAAUCGGCUGCAAAGAUAAGAUUAUGGGUGCAAUUAUGAAGGAUUGUAUACAAACGGAAAAUUUCAGAGUUAGAGUCGUAGAAGAAAUAGAAGCAGUCGAAAUUUGCGGAGCACUUAAAAACAUCGUAGCGUGUGCCGCAGGUUUUGUGGAUGGCCUUGACCUGGGCGACAACACGAAAGCCGCAGUUAUAAGGCUCGGACUCAUGGAGAUAGUGAAUUAUGUGAAACUGUUUUAUGGCAAAUUUAAUAUGUCGAUCUUUUUCGAGAGUUGCGGUAUUGCUGACCUUAUCACCACCUGCUACGGUGGCAGGAACCGCAGAGUUUGCGAGCAAUUCGUCAAAACUGGCAAAACCAUCAAAGAAUUAGAAGACGAAUUGCUGAAUGGUCAAAAGCUCCAGGGACCAUUGACAGCUGAAGAAGUCUACGGAAUGCUCAAGGACAGUAACUCCACGGCUAAGUUUCCUUUAUUCGCGACAGUCCAUCGCAUUUGUAAUAAGGAACUGAAACCCAAUGAUCUGAUCGAGCAGAUCCGUAACCAUCCGGAGUAUGAUCUGUCACAGGCGCCACCUUUGUUUUCAUCAAAAUAUCGGCAAAAUUUUGCAAUAAUGGUAUAGCUUCGACUGUCGCCGCAGCCAUGAAAGGUUUCAAGUAUAUUAGGAUAUUUGGGAAAUCAAAAAACCUUUAAGGAGAAUGUGGAAUCGGAAGGUUUUUACUUUCCAGAUGUUACAAAGUUUAAUAAGACUGAUAACAUGACUGCUUCAUUUAAGAAAAUUUAGAGCUUUUGAAAAGAGUAAAAAAUGAGCGAAUGUCCAUUGUGUGGGCAACCAACUUACAAAGCUAGUACAAGACUGAUAAAAGAUGCAUGUGGACAUACCAAGUGCCGUUUAUGUUUGUUGCAAGAAGAAUAUGGAUGCAGUAUAUGCAAGGGUGAACAAAUAAGGGAGAUUCAAAAUAGAAAUGCUAUAGCGA